GGGUGAGUAACGCGUGGAUAAUCUGCCCUGUGAUCUGGGAUAACACUUCGAAAGGGGUGCUAAUACCGGAUAAGACCACGGAGUCUUAGGACUCUGCGGUAAAAGGUGGGGACCUUCGGGCCUACCGUCAUCGGAUGAGUCCGCGUACCAUUAGCUAGUUGGUAGGGUAAGAGCCUACCAAGGCGACGAUGGUUAGCUGGUCUGAGAGGAUGAUCAGCCACACUGGAACUGAGACACGGUCCAGACUCCUACGGGAGGCAGCAGUGGGGAAUUUUGCGCAAUGGGGGAAACCCUGACGCAGCAACGCCGCGUGAGUGAUGAAGGCCUUCGGGUCGUAAAGCUCUGUCAGAGGGGAAGAAGUGUGCGGGUGCUAAUAUCAUCUGCGCUUGACGGUACCCUCAAAGGAAGCACC
rnacentral:rRNA from 1 species